GACGAACGCUGGCGGCGUGCCUAAUACAUGCAAGUCGAACGCAGUGGGGACGGGUGAGUAACACGUGGGUAACCUCCCAUCAGAGGGGAUAACACUUGGAAACAGGUGCUAAACCGAUACUGACGGAUGGACCCGCGGUGCAUUAGCUAGUUGGUGAGGUAACGGCUCACCAAGGCCGCGAUGCAUAGCGGACAUGAGAGGGUGGUCGGCGAAACUUGGAAUGAGGAACGGCCCAAGCUCCUAAGGGAGGCAGCAGAAGGGAAUCGUCGGCAAUGGGGGGAACCCUGACCGCGCAACGCCGAGGGAGUGAAGAAGGUUUUAGGAUCGUAAAGCUCUGUUGUUAAGGAAGCGGUACUUAACCAGAAAGGGACGGCUAACUACGUGCCAGCAGCCGAGGGAAUUC
rnacentral:rRNA from 1 species